CCUACGGGAGGCAGCAGUGGGGGAUAUUGCACAAUGGGGGGAACCCUGAUGCAGCGACGCCGCGUGGGUGAAGGAGUAUUUCGGUAUGUAAAGCCCUAUCGGCAGGGAAGAAUUUAGACGGUACCUGACUAAGAAGCCUCGGCUAACGACGGGCCAGCAGCCGCGGUAAUACGUAGGGGGCAAGCGUUAUCCGGAUUUACUGGGUGUAAAGGGAGCGUAGACGGUUAUGUAAGUCUGGAGUGAAAGCCCGGGGCCCAACCCCGGGACUGCUUUGGAAACUGUGUAACUGGAGUGCAGGAGGGGCAGGCGGAAUUCCUGGUGUAGCAGUGAAAUGCGUAGAUAUCAGGAGGAACACCAGCGGCGAAGGCGGCCUGCUGGACUGAAACUGACGUUGAGGCUCGAAAGCGUGGGGAGCAAACAGGAUUAGAUACUCCGGUAGUC
rnacentral:rRNA from 1 species